UUUAAAACCUUUAUUAGAUAAAAGGCCAAUGCAUGCUUUGUACAGUAUGAAAAUUGGUGAUUUAUAAUAACUUAGCAAAUCGCAAAGUGAAAACAGGCGAUAAAUCAUUCAAGUUUCUGACCUAUCAGCUUUCGACGGUAUGGUAUUGGCUUACCGUGGCAGUGACGGUUAACGGGGGAUUAGGGUUCGAUUCCGGAGAGGGAGCCUGAGAAACGGCUACCACAUCUAAGGAAGGCAGCAGGCGCGCAAAUUACCCAAUUCUAACAGUUUGAGAGAGGUAGUAACAAGAAAUAACAAUACAAGGCAGUUAAAAUGCUUUGUAAUUGGAAUGAUAGAAAUUUAAACCCUUUUUAAAGUAUCAAUUGGAGGGCAAGUCUGGUGCCAGCAGCCGCGGUAAUUCCAGCUCCAAUAGCGUAUAUUAAAAUUGUUGCAGUUAAAAAGCUCGUAGUUGAAGUUCUGCUAAAAGUAACCGGUCUGCUUUUAAUAAAGGUGGUAUCUUGGUGUGUAUUUAGCAAUGAUGUCCUUUGAAGUGUUUUUUACUUUAUUGUAAUAAAGCAUAUUCAGGACUUUUACUUUGAGAAAAUUAGAGUGUUUCUAGCAGGCUAACGCUUUGAAUACUGCAGCAUGGAAUAAUAAGAA
rnacentral:rRNA from 1 species